rnacentral:SRP_RNA from 1 species
UCGUGCUAGACGGGGAGCUAGCGGUGCCCUGUAACCCGAAAUCCGCUCAUGCGGGGUUGAACGUCCUUCAGGAGAUCCUUGAAACAGGUUUUUUCAGUCCCUUGGAGACGAGUUGGACCCCACGUAACAGACGCCUGGAAACCCCGUCAGGUCCGGGAGGAAGCAGCGGUAACCAGGAAAGCCUGUGUCGUGGGAUACUCUUUCUCUUCCCUCCUUCGGCUCUUGGAACGACCUGGUUUCAUGAUCGAAUGAGGAUGCACGG